GCCAGUUGGUAGUUUAUUGGGUGACGUUAUGCUGAUGGAAAGUUCCUUGACCUGGUGAGGCCUAAAACAUUAAUUAUUAAUAAAUUAAUGUAUUAAACAUUGUUCCAGUCUAAUUACCCUAGAGGGACUAUAUCUAAAUUGUUGAAUCUUUGCCUUGAGGUUUUCCCAGCUCCAAAGUGUGAAUUACCUCCUGCUCAUCUCAGCCCUGUGGUUCUUGAGACGAAGUGUGACAAUUCAAUCACAGCAGUCAGAUAUUAGAUAGUGGGGGUGUAUGGUAUGGCAUUUAAUGGAUCCCUAAGAGUCAUGGUGAAAUAGGGCCUUUGCUUACUGCAGGAUCUAAAGGGACAUGAGAGAAACAGAAGAAAAGAUGAUGUGUAGAACAGUUAUAUCCAUGGAUCACAAACCAUGAAAUAGACCAUAAAAGUGGUAAGAAGGCUUAUCCAAUUCCAAAUUACAGUUGUUUGAACACUAAGCAGCUUAAGAAAGUAAGCAUUAUGAUCAUUCUCAUUCAGAAAAAGAAACCACUGCUGAGGUAAAACCUUUUGGCUGGUAGUAACAAAAUGAAAAUAUUAAUCUUAGCUGUUAAUCUUUUUGAUUUAUAGAUAUUACAUAAAUCAUGCUGCUGUUUUUUCCAAUCUGCUGCUAGGAUUUGCUGCAUACUGUUCACCUGGAGAGAAUGGCCUGUUGGGAAUUCCUGACUACUUUGGGCAUACUUCAGAAGUAAUACAGGCUGCGAAUGUGAGCUUGAAAAUUGCAUCAGGAUGCCCAGAGGUAAGCGAGCAUUUCUCUGGCCAGAACAGGAAGAUCUAUGGCAUGUUCUUGUAGCUGACCAGCAUAUAGAAGAGGACUUACUAAAGAUGGAUUUCAAUGUCUCAAUCGUAAUCCACGGCAAUAAUGAAACCUCCUAAGCAGCCACUCUGCCCCACCUCACCAGGAGUUACCUCCGUCCAUCCAAGGGGAAUUUCGCUGCCACAGGCCAGCAGGGGGAGCGAGUCCCUCCCGGGGGUGUCUGACCUGGCCCAUGACAGGAGACAGUGCCACAGAAGAACCCAAUCUGGGACUUAACCUGGGAUGCAAAAGAUCAAAUUCCUGUUUUCCAGCUCUGUUACAGCCAUCAUAAAGCACCUUAAGCAAAUCAUCCUGCCUCCAUUACCAUCUCUAACAAUGGAAAAAUAAUUUCUUUCACCAUUCUUUAUUAGUUCAUUAAUUCAGUGGGGCAGCAAGUAUGCCCUAUGGCUUAAAUGUCACAUGCUUAAUGCUGUAGGCAUUUUUUAGGACUUUGCUUAGACACCUAUGGACUUUAGCACCUCUGUACUCAGCAGCAGCAACACUACAUUGGUUCACAACAGCUAAAUGCAGAGUAUAUAAAAAUUUGACCAAGGUAGGUGCUAUGUUUUUUCAUUUCCCAGGAAAAAUAACUGCUCUUACUAAAUGAAAAAUUUUAAUGGAAUUAUUAUUGCUACAAAAACACAGCUUUUCAGCUGUUAAGUCAGCAGUAAAGCUACUGUUAACUUCUCUUAAGAUCACUACCUUCACCUGAUCACAGGAUAGUGGAUAACUUGCACUUACAUUAACUAUAUUUUAGACCAUUCUAGCACUUUCCAUAAACAUUUUAACAUUUUGGGUUAUCAUACUCUGCCAUUUUCCUGCAUGCACAUAAUCCUGGACCCUGAGAAAUGAGGCUUUUAGAACUCAUUUAACAAGUAAUAGUGUUAUGCUAUGGGACUGUUCCUCAGUACAACCAUGUGUCUCAAUUAUAUUAAUCUAUUUCUCAGAUUUAAAAACUAAGCAAUCAUAAGGUACAUGCAGCCUUGUUUGAGAAAGUAUGUUUGAAAAGCAAAUGGUUCUCUCCGCCCCUGCACAGCUCCAGCUGACAGACAGAAGCAAUUCAUCUGUGAGAAGGAAAAUGCCAUUUGUCACAUAUGACUUAGGCCAGUUUCCAAGUACUUCAAAUAGAAGAAAAGAAACGCUACAAAAAGAAAUAUGACAGGUCUACACUGCCACGUAAGUUUUUAACUGAAAAAUGUAAUGGGAAUCAAAUAUAAUUUUAAAAAAUUAUGACUUUAUUAUUGUAAUUCAUAUGAAUUUCCAGUCUGUUAUUGGUAUAUAUAUUCUUAGCCAUAUGCCUGGCAAUUAACUGGACAAUCUAGAUUUACCUCAGUAAAAGUAUUUCCUUCUAUCAGAUUUCCUCCCUUCUCACCAAUUUCACUGGAUGUUUUCCUUUGAACUUUUACUACACUCAUGACUUGCAUUCCUUAUAUCAUCAC
rnacentral:lncRNA from 1 species